GAUGAACGCUGGCGGCGUGCUUAACACAUGCAAGUCGAACGGAAAGGCCCUGCUUUUGUUGGGUGCUCGAGUGGCGAACGGGUGAGUAACACGUGAGUAACCUGCCCUUGACUUUGGGAUAACUUCAGGAAACUGGGGCUAAUACCGGAUAGGAGCUCCUGCUUCAUGGUGGGGGUUGGAAAGUUUCGGCGGUUGGGGAUGGACUCGCGGGUUAUCAGCUUGUUGGUGGGGUAGUGGCUUACCAAGGCUUUGACGGGUAGCCGGCCUGAGAGGGUGACCGGCCACAUGGGGACUGAGAUACGGCCCAGACUCCUACGGGAGGCAGCAGUGGGGAAUAUUGCACAAUGGGCGGAAGCCUGAUGCAGCAACGCCGCGUGCGGGAUGACGGCCUUCGGGUUGUAAACCGCUUUCGCCUGUGACGAAGCGUGAGUGACGGUAAUGGGUAAAGAAGCACCGGCUAACUACGUG
rnacentral:rRNA from 1 species